AGGACGAACGCUGGCGGCGUGCUUAACACAUGCAAGUGGAGCGACGAACCAGGGCUUGCCCUGGGGCAGAGCCGCGAACGGGUGAGUAACACGUGGGUUACCUGCCUCGAUGACUGGGACAACCCGGGGAAACUCGGGCUAAUACCGGAUGUGCCCGCAAGGGGAAAGGAAGCUUCGGCCUCCGCAUCGAGAUGGGCCCGCGGCCCAUUAGCUUGUUGGUGAGGUAACGGCUCACCAAGGCUUCGAUGGGUAGCUGGUCUGAGAGGACGAUCAGCCACACUGGGACUGAGACACGGCCCAGACUCCUACGGGAGGCAGCAGUGGGGAAUCUUGCGCAAUGCGCGAAAGCGUGACGCAGCAACGCCGCGUGGGGGAAGAAGGCUUUCGGGUUGUAAACCCCUUUCAGUUGGGACGAAGCUUCGCCGGUGAAUAGCCGGCCGGAGUGACGGUACCUUCACAAGAAGCACCGGCUAACUACGUGCCAGCAGCCGC
rnacentral:rRNA from 1 species